GACGAACGCUGGCGGCGUGCUUAACACAUGCAAGUCGAACGAAGAGCGAUGGAAGCUUGCUUCUAUCAAUCUUAGUGGCGAACGGGUGAGUAACGCGUAAUCAACCUGCCCUUCAGAGGGGGACAACAGUUGGAAACGACUGCUAAUACCGCAUACGAUCUAAUCUCGGCAUCGAGGAUAGAUGAAAGGUGGCCUCUACAUGUAAGCUAUCACUGAAGGAGGGGAUUGCGUCUGAUUAGCUAGUUGGAGGGGUAACGGCCCACCAAGGCGAUGAUCAGUAGCCGGUCUGAGAGGAUGAACGGCCACAUUGGGACUGAGACACGGCCCAGACUCCUACGGGAGGCAGCAGUGGGGAAUCUUCCGCAAUGGACGAAAGUCUGACGGAGCAACGCCGCGUGAGUGAUGACGGCCUUCGGGUUGUAAAGCUCUGUUAAUCGGGACGAAGGGCCUUCUUGCGAAUAGGGAGAAGGAUUGACGGUACCGGAAUAGAAAGCCACGGCUAACUACGUG
rnacentral:rRNA from 1 species